ensembl:misc_RNA Metazoa_SRP Metazoan signal recognition particle RNA
GCCGGGCGUGGUGGCGUGUGCCUGUAAUCCCAGCUACUCGGGAGGCUGAGGCAGGAGGAUCACUUGAACCCGGGAGGCAGAGGUGGCAGUGAGCCGAGGUCGUGCCACUGCACUCCAGCCUGGGUGACAAAGUGAGACCCCAUCUCAA